CGUGUCUUGCAUUGUGACAGAUCCCAGGGUCAUUUCCAUCUGUGCCCAGAGCGCCCAGGGCUCCCCGUGUGAAUUAAGUUUCCAGAUUUAUUUCUCAGCUCCUGAGCACGAUGGGGUGAUACUUGAGGGCAAAUCUUAUUAUUUUGUCAUAUUGAGGGAGUGCGAUCUGCAGAGGCAAUUCAGGCAGUGGCGGGGACGUCACAUCCAUCAGCUGGGAUGUCACCGGUGUUGUCUCUUUGGAUGGAAAAAUCUCUGCUUGGCACGAAGGCACACACCUGUCAUCCCAGAGCUCGGGAGGCUGAGGCAGGAGGAUGGUAAGUUCAAAGCCAGCCUCAGCCAAAGCGAGGCCCUAAGCAACUCAGUGUGACCCUGUCUCUAAAUAAAAUGCAAAAUAGGGCUGGGGACGGGGCUCA
rnacentral:lncRNA from 1 species